AACGCACAUUGCGCCCUAUGGUAUUCCGUAGGGCAUGCCUGUCUGAGGGCCAGCUACCCCCCAAACUCAGGCUUCUUAUUUUUGAAGCUUGGACUUCUUUGGAGAAGUGAAUUGCCCUCUAUAUUAUAGGGGAAUCGCCCUCCAGAAAAUCAUAGGCAGUAUGGUUUGUACCUGAACCAGACGUGAUAAAUUUUCGUCUCUAUGGAAAGGGAAGAUUGUACUUGCCUCAACCCACUCAAUAUAUCUUUGGGUGACCUCAGAUCAGGUAGGGAUACCCGCUGAACUUAA
rnacentral:misc_RNA from 1 species